AUUGAACGCUGGCGGAAUGCUUUACACAUGCAAGUCGAGCGGCAGCGCGGGGGCAACCCUGGCGGCGAGCGGCGAACGGGUGAGUAAUGCAUCGGAACGUACCCAGUCGUGGGGGAUAACGUGGCGAAAGUCACACUAAUACCGCAUACGUCCUGAGGGAGAAAGCAGGGGAUCGCAAGACCUUGCGCGAUUGGAGCGGCCGAUGUCUGAUUAGCUAGUUGGUGGGGUAAAGGCCUACCAAGGCGACGAUCAGUAGCUGGUCUGAGAGGACGAUCAGCCACACUGGGACUGAGACACGGCCCAGACUCCUACGGGAGGCAGCAGUGGGGAAUUUUGGACAAUGGGCGAAAGCCUGAUCCAGCCAUUCCGCGUGAGUGAAGAAGGCC
rnacentral:rRNA from 1 species